rfam:Moniliophthora roreri MCA 2997 sctg_0160_0004, whole genome shotgun sequence.
GCCCGCCUAGCUCAAUCGGAUAGAGCGUCAGACUUUUAAGAAACAGUCUAGCGGGCUGUAAUAAUCAUCUGAAGGCUGCGAGUUCGACCCUCGCGGUGGGCU